rnacentral:sRNA from 1 species
AAAAUUGAAAUCGAUAAGCUUGGAAAACAAAUCGAGCCCUUUAAACAAAGGAGGUUCAAGGAAUUAUAUUCCAAAUGGAAACACAAAAGACCUCAAUCAAACCAAAUAUAAAGAAAUCGAGAGAUGAAAACAUAAAUCUAAACCGGAAAUCAAUUUGGCCAAAAGCUAGACGAGACACCGAAGAUAGGCGGUGAAACUCUGGACCUUAGCUAGCCCACCGCCGCUAAAGAAGCCAACGGAAGCCAGACGCAAGCAGACCACCGCCGUAAAAAACCGGACAGUGUCAGAACGAAAACAGAUCAAACGUUGCCCAAAACGUCGCUGGACAAAAGCCAGACAUCCAUACUGAAAAAGCCAUAAAUUCUGGACAGAAAACCGGCCAACAAACGUUGAAGAAGCGAUUAUUGUCGGAAAAAGAAGAUCCAGUGCUUCCUCUCUCUAAAAGAUGCUGAUGAGAGAAGAGAGAGAACCACCAAGAUUUAUUUAAAUGCAAGGAACAAAAAAAUGUUUGCCUUCAAGGAUAAAAUAGAUAUAGAUUUAAUCUCUUUAAAUUUAAUCUUCGUCAAUAAAUUUGCUUCAUGAGUUAACGCGAUCAAACUAAAAAAAUCUUUGUUCUCUCACUUAGCAGCUCAUUUUAGAAAUUCUCAUCGCCGUUCGUUUGCCGUCCCGUUUCUGUUGGGCUUAAGAACUUCUCCUCUGUAGUAUAUCAUUAUACUUGAGCGGAGCCCUUGUCCGAAGAAUUACCAGUUUUUUGUUGGAGUUCUGAUUCAGUUGGAUUUCAUUUGCUACUUUCAAAAGUUGGUUUGCUGUUUCAAUUAGGCUCGAUUCUCUGUGAAUUGAUUGCGCUUGGUUUCUUAUCGAAGUUGAUUCAAGUGGAUUUCUCGUCAUGAAUAUGGAGUUAGACAAAGCUAUCUUUGAGAUGUCGAUCAAAGAUGAUGGUCCUCUAGUUUUAUCCUAUCAACCAAAGUUUAGUUCGAUAGAGAAGAAUAGUUGUAGUAUUAUUCGACAAUUUCUGAACCCUUCUCACCAACGUAUGUCUAAUUGGAUAUUAGAUAUGCCUCGAAUAUGGCGGAUCUACUCCCGGGUU